GCCCUGCACGGGGGGGGGGGGGGGGCUUCUGUGCCUGGGGUAGCAGGGCAGUGGGCUGCCCAGAGAAGCACAGCCUCCGCAUCUGGCGGGGUCUGAGGGGUGGCCCCGGACCCUGGACUGGGUGAGGUGCUGGCCGGGCAGGGUGGGCUGUGGCUGGGGGGCCACUGAGGAGCGUGUUUGCCCAGCUGCGGUCAGCUGGGCGGAGCGUCUGGGCUGGGUCAGCGCGCGUGCGCGCACACACACACGCACACACACUCCCCCUCUCUCCGCCUGGGUGGUCCCUGCCGCCUCCUGUGGCCCGUCUGCUGGUGGACACAGAGGGCCCCAGGCCAGUAGGAAGCAGGGAAAGGCCGAGGGCUCCCAUGGGCCCGCAUCUCGGAGCUUCUGAGCACAUCUGUCCAGAUGCGACGCAGGCCGACCCGGCCCCUGGCAUCUGGGGGCCCGUGGGUCUCAGUCUCCCCUCCGGAAAGUGGGGUUUGUGGGCAUCCUUGGGGGCGGAGUGCAGGGGCGCCCUCCCCACUGCAGGGGAGUGGCCGCAGCUGGGGUUGGGGUGUGGCUGGGGGGUCUUUCCCGGCCCCCCAAAAUGCCUGUGCAGGCCUCCUCAGUCUGAGAAGCCAGGUUGUGACAAGAGAGCGUGCGGCCCUUUAGAGUGGGGACGGAGAGGGCCCUGGAGGCCACUGCAUCCUACACACGCGUGUGCACACACCCACAUACACACCCACGCACACACCCACACACAUACAUCCCCGCACACGCACACGGGCUCGCACAUGCGGGAAGUGCUCCCUAGAAGGGCCAUUGGGAGCAGGGGGCCUGGGCCUGACCCCGCUGGGACAGCGGGCUGGUGCCUGGGCUGUGGCCUGUCCACCUGCACAGCUGGGGGCGCUGCCCCUGCCCUCUUCCCGUGACCUCCACUGCCUCCCACCAGCCUCCCCCUGCCUGGGGAUUUUGAGGCCUUAAGCCCACCCACCCUGAGCAGGGCUCUGGUCCCCGUGAGUCCCAGGUGCCAGCCCAGCCAGCCUGCCCAGCCACCACCGCACCUUGGGUGCAGACAGGGCAGCUCCUCCCCCGAACGCGGAGCCGGCUGAGCUGAGUCACCUCACCACUGAGGGGGAGCGCUGCCACCCAGUGCCGCAGCCCCCCCUUCCCCAGGACUCACAGGCCAGGCUGAGCCCCCUUCUGAGGGGUGGCCAGGGAUCAGGCAUCAGUGUCCAGAGGACCUGGGCCCUGUUCUUCUACGGGCUGUGGGCUCAGGCUUGGGGGUCCGUCGUUCGCGAUGGGACCGCCACAUUGGGCCCGUGGGCUCCUGUGGCCACAAGUGAUCUUUGGCGUCCAUGCCAGGGCCCUGCCUGCCCCAGCUGCUCCAUGGCCUCCUUCUGGGAGGCGCCUGGCCAGGGCUCCCAGCUCCUCCUCCAUCCAGAGAAACCCUGCGUCCCAGGGUCAAAGAUGGGCCCUCUUCCUCCGAAGCCCCCCCAGAGGUCUUGGGCCCUGCAGAGCCGCCCCUGGAGAGCUGGUGUCACUGUCGUCAUGGUCGUCGCCCCCCGCCCCCGUGGAAAAGCGGCUCCUGCCUGUCGGCUGUGGCGCUGGCCAGGUGGGGAAGAGGCUGACCUGUGCCAGGGGCUUCCUUUGGGUUAUAGGUUGUCCCAUGGGUUGUCGAGUGAGGCCACCAGGCCGGACGCAGGCGCGAAAGACCUUGCCCCGGGCCCCCUAGCCACGUGGCGGCAGGGCCAGGAAUGACCGGACCCGGCAGACCUUUGGCUGCGCCUUCCGGGCCGUGCUUCCCAGGUGAGAGACCCAGGGAGCCCGGGCCUGUGGGACAGAGCUGCUUUUGUCUUUAUGUGUGACCCACUCCGCAGGCCCCGGGCAGCCCCCCACCUUGGUUGUCCCCAGAACAAAGCCGGCUCUGCCAGACCGGCCGCCGCAGAGGCUUCAAUCAGAGCAGGUGGAAGGGAACUCCAUCUGCCUUUUGUUGCUGCCGGAGGGAGUCAGGGGCUGGAUUCGCCCUUGAACGGGGAGAGAGGCAGCGGGGAGGGCGAGGACCGCGGGGAGGGGGCCGGGGCGACGUACCUGCGACAGCCACCCCUCCCCCACCCGCUGGCGCAUCCAGCGCCUGGUCACCAUCUUAGCAUUCGGCACACGCCUGCGCACACGCGCACGCACACGCGCGCACACACACACACAUGCUCACACAUGUCACUCCUGUCUUCCUCCACCGCCCUCCGAGGUUCCCUGUGCACCAGGAAGGGAGCCUCUGACCAGAGAAAAAAGAAAGGAAAGGAGAGAGAGGGCGCAAAGCCCAUUCCGAGUUACCGUAGUUACCGUAGUUACGGGCGCCGAGGACUCGCGGGGCGGGCACGGCCCCCUUCCUGUCCUGAGGACCCUCCCUCCCGGCCCCUCCGUCACCCCAUUAACAAGCCGGGGCCCUUGUUCCGAGUUCUGCGGCAGAAAGGGAAGAUUCAAGGACUUUUCAAUAGGCGAGAACUCCCUGGGCGGCUCUGAGGAGUUGCUUUUUGUGUGGCGGCGGCGAGGGACUGGCGACUCCACCCGCUCCCCCUGGCCGCCGCCUCCUGCCUGGAGCCGCCGCCGCUCCCGGGCCCCCGGGUCCCCGCGUCUCCCGGUGGAUGUGCUUGUUCGUCGGGAGCCCAGUCCUUUAUUUUUGCUGCCUUUCUCUCCUGACACCCUCAGCUUAGCAGAGGCCACGGGUGCCUCUGCCUCUCAGGGGAGCUAGAGCAUCCUCAGGGAAUGCUGGAAAGGCUGAAACCUCGGAGUGGGGCUCCACACGGAGUCCCCGGUUCCUGCCCUGGGCCGGGGAGCAGAGGCCCGCUCCCCCAUCCAGGUGCUGGGCCUGCCGCCUUGGCCAAGCCUGUGCCCGGUGCCCGGUGCCCGGGGCGGGCUGGCCAGAGGGAGAUGGCGGCGGCAAAGGAGGCAGACGAGCAAAUCCGUUUCCUCCGACGCUGCAUAUCUUAGGAAAGCACAUUUCAGCUCUUUUGGCUUUUGGCAAGCUGGUCCCAGCCUUUAAUUUUCUAAUAAAAAGGAAUCACGUUUGCUGAAAAGGCAGGAACUGGCUCCCGUCACUGUCUCUCCCAGAGACCAUAGUUCCCAUCUGGGGCGCCUGCCAGCCUGGGGGGUGGGCGGUGGGCUCCUGCGACCCCAUGUGGCGUUGUCCAGGGCCAGGGGGGCAGGGGCGCUGGGGCACACAGCAGAGGGCAGACAGUGCCCGUGUACCCUGGCCCAGCCUCGGCCGCAGUCCAGGCUGGCAGGGGCCCUGAGACUCAGGCGGAUGUUUGGUGACUCUUCUGCUGGAAUGAAGGAAGGAAGGGACGGACGCUCUUCGCUGAGGCCCCGGGGUAGCUGGCAGGCUGCUCAGAGGGUCAGAUCUUUGUUGCCUGAAACGGUGCACAUGUGCACACGUGCUCCCUUGAGUCUGAAGUCACCUACCUGGAGGGCCUUGCCAGCCCCGCAUCCCCCAAACCCCUGGCACUGACUCACCAGAAACUUUGCCAAAAAUCAUACCUUUAAAAAAAACAACAUGCAUUCAUUGUUUUUAAAAAAAGACAUAGUAGGAGUUCCCUUCGUGGCGCAGUGGAAAGGAAUCCGACUGGGAACCUUGAGCUUGCGGGUUUGAUCCCGGGCCUCGCUCAGGGGGUUAAAGGACCCGGCGUUGCCGUGAGCUGUGGUGUAGCUCCCAGAUGCGGCUUGGAUCUGGCGUGGCUGAGGCUGUGGUGGAGGCCAGCAGCGACAGCUCCGAUUGGACCCCUAGGCUGGGAACCUCCAUAUGCUGCGGGUGUGGCCCUAAAAAGCAAAAAAAGAAAAAGACACACACACAAAAGACCUAACAGAAGCGUGUGAAGUUGGAAGAUAUUUUUUUUUUUUUUGUCUCUUUAGGACCGCACCCAAGGCACAUGGAAGUUCCCAGGCUAGGGGUUGAAUCACAGCUGCAGCUGGCGGUCUACACCACAGCCACAGCAACACCAGAUCCGAGCCGUGUCUGUGACCUCCACCACAGCUCAUGGCAACGCCAGACCCUUAACCCACUGAGCGAGGCCAGGGAUCGAAUCCACAUCCUCGUGGUUCCUAGUCAGGUUCAGGUUCGUUACCACUGAGCCACAGCAGGAACCUGAGUUGGAAGUUCCUGCUCCCACAGUAACCCCCGCCCCCGACGCCCCUGGGCGGGGGCAUCCUUGGCGCUUCCUCCCGUCCCUGGGACAUUUGGGUGUUUCUCGUCUGCUUGGGAUUUAGCUGCACCGCGCCCUUCCAUGCAGCCUGCUUGCAGCCCCGUGGGGCUCCAGCCAGGGGCACAGGAGGCGCACGGGAGGUGUUUAUGGAAGUGCCCUGUCUGUGCAGGGUGGGCACGUGGACAGCUUGUCCGCUGUUACAGGUUUCAUUCCGGUCCCAGUUUUAAACUCGGUCCUGUAGGCAGAGCCCUUGAUAAAUGGCAGGCUGUGCGAUUUGGAGGGAAUGUUACUCAGUUGCGUGCCCCAAAGGUUUCUCGUGUCCCUUCUGUGUGCCAGGCUGCCAGGCCCAGCGAUCCCACCACAAUGCCAGAGGGGUGAGGAGGCCCUGGAGGGACAUCCAGGAGCCCCGCGGCGGCCCCAGCCCUGGCGGCUCAUCACUGCUGGUGCCCAGAUGCUGUCAGACUGGCUCAGGGCGCUGGCAAUGCCAGGGCAUGUGGGUGGGUGGCACAUCUCCCGCUCAGGGCUCUCCCCGGGGCUGUCCCCUGCCCCACGGCCCGCUCAGGUGCCGGGCUGCUGCUCUUCAGCCAGCACACUUGGGAGCAGCCUGGGGCUCGUGUGGCUGGGCACUCGGGCAGAGACACCCAGAAAUGCCCGGCACACCGCCCCAGUCCUCAGCCCGCCUGAACCACGGUGCCCCUCGUUGGUCCUCAGGACUCCUCUGGGCAGCGCCCCAGCUGGGCGGGGAGGGGAGUCGGGAGUGGGAACGGGCAGUGGGGCCCGUCACUGUGUCCCCUGCAUGGUGCCGGGCACGGGGUGCCGAAGACACAGCUCACCAAGAUGUGUGGCCGUGCAGAGGGCGGCCCGUGGACGCACGCCCGCCUGGGCUCCCACGUGUUCCCAGGACUGGCCCCUUUCUUAUUGAUGCCAGCCUGGCUGGGUGAGGCCCAGGGCCGUCCGGGGUGGCACAGGCUGGGCUUCGUGGGGGUGCAGAUGCCGGCCCAUCUGCUCUGUGAAGUGGGCCGAGCUGCCCACACACCCAGGGCGGCUGUGAGAAGGGUGGCAGGGGACAAGGGGGACGAGGCCCUGCCCAGGACAGGUGAUCUCCCAUGGGGAGGCUGCAGUGCGCUUUACAUUAAAAAAAUAUAUACAUAUAUACACAUGUAUAUUAUAUAUACUCAUUUUAAUAUGUGAAACAUACAUUUAAUAUAUUUACGUAUAUUUAUAUAAAUAUGUACUGACUAUAUUACAGAUAUUUAGUGUAUUUACUGUGUGUAUUAUAUGUAUAUUACAUGUAUUUGUAUUUUUUUAGGGAGAAGAAAGCUGGUUGUGAAUAGAAAGAGGAAAAGCAGAGUUCCUGUGGGGCUCAGCCAGUUAAGAACCCAACAUGGUGUCCAUGAGGACACGGGUUCGAUCCCUGGCCUCGCUCUGUGGGUUAAGGAUCUGGCGUUGCCGUGAGCUGUGGUGUGGGUCGCAGAUGUGGCUCGGAUCCCGUGUUGCUGUGGCUGUGGUGCAGGCCGGCAGCUACAGCUCCGAUUAGAGCCCUAGCCUGGGAACCGCCAUAUGCCGCAGGUGCAGCCUUAAAAAGAAAAAAACGGGGGGAGUUCCCGUCAUUGCGCAGCAGAAACAAAUCCAACUAGGAACCAUGAGGUCGGGGGUUCGAUCCCUGGCUUUGCUCAGUGGGUUAAGGAUCCAGCAUUGCUGUGGCUGUGGUGUGGGCCGGCGGCUACAGCUCCGAUUAGACCCCUAGCCUGGGAACCUCCAUAUGCUG
rnacentral:lncRNA from 1 species